AGAAAGAUUGAAAAUUGACAUGGAGUGCUGCCACGCGAAAUCCGUCUAGGUAAUAGAAUGGAAUGCGAGUAAAGCGGAAUUUCAGAAACGCCAUCAGGGUGGUAUUUUCGAAUCUUACCAAAAGUGCAACACAUUUAAUUCACAAUAGUUGACGAUCUUAUUGAAUCUGCAUAAUUUUCUAUAACAAAAUAAUAAUGGUAAAUACCUAUUGGGUAAAUACCCUUUAACCAUUUACAAUGCGAUAUUUUACGCUCCUUCAUAAAUUAUUCACAAUAACGCUUUACUUAUCAACAAUUGAUUGAGUUGAAGAAAAUUUUGAAUAUCAUUGACUGUUAUAGAAAAUUUAUCAUUUAAUUUAAAGCCGUUUUUCAUUCGAACAAACCAAUUUCUUAUUGUAUGAAAUAUGUUACCUCGCAGUUGUACACAUUUUAAUUUGUGCAAGUCAUAUGUUCGAACUGUAAGGACAGUACCAUGUCAGCAAAUAAAACUAAAAAUUAUUCAACCUAGAGAAAAAGAAACUCAUGGUGCAAAAAAUCGUCGCCUUGGGAGAUUUUUCUCACCAAAUUUAAUGAUUUAUAAACCGCAAUUGACCUCCAUUAUGUCUAUAUCAAAUCGCGCAAGCUCAUUUUUGCUCAGUCUUUAUACAUGGGGUCUAGGCAUAGGCGCUUUAAUAUCUUCGCACGACAAUGCGCAUUUUGUUACGAUGCUUGAUGGAUUACAAUUGGGUGCAACUCCUUUAUUUAUUCUUAAAUUCCUACUCGCUUUUCCGUUUUCUUACCAUUUAUGCGCCAGUACCCGAGUGUUGAUAUGGGAAGCCACCGGAAGCUUCCUGUCAUUGCAAGGAAUUUACGGUACCGGUUAUGUUGCACUAGUGACUACUAUAUUAACAAGCAUUGGUUUGGCAUCAUUGUAAACAAUUUUGGAGAUUUUAAUAUUGUAUCAUAUGUAUGUAACUAUAUUCAUUAUAUAUGAAUCGUAUACAAUUGUUAAUGUUCCAAGCAUAUAAUAAUUAUUUGGAUGCAUGUGUGUUA